ACAGCAGUAGCCGCGGGAAUACGGAGGGAGCUAGCGUUGUUCGGAAUUACUGGGCGUAAAGCGCACGUAGGCGGUUAUUCAAGUCAGAGGUGAAAGCCCGGGGCUCAACCCCGGAACUGCCUUUGAAACUAGAUGACUAGAAUCUUGGAGAGGUCAGUGGAAUUCCGAGUGUAGAGGUGAAAUUCGUAGAUAUUCGGAAGGACACCAGUGGCGAAGGCGACUGACUGGACAAGUAUUGACGCUGAGGUGCGAAAGCGUGGGGAGCAAACAGGAUUAGAUACCCGAGUAGUCCCUGUCUCUUAUAU
rnacentral:rRNA from 1 species